UGCAAGUCGAACGAAGCACUUUAUUUGAUUUCUUCGGAAUGAAGAUUUUGUGACUGAGUGGCGGACGGGUGAGUAACGCGUGGGUAACCUGCCUCAUACAGGGGGAUAACAGUUGGAAACGACUGCUAAUACCGCAUAAGCGCACAGGGUCGCAUGACCUGGUGUGAAAAACUCCGGUGGUAUGAGAUGGACCCGCGUCUGAUUAGCCAGUUGGUGGGGUAACGGCCUACCAAAGCAACGAUCAGUAGCCGACCUGAGAGGGUGACCGGCCACAUUGGGACUGAGACACGGCCCAAACUCCUACGGGAGGCAGCAGUGGGGAAUAUUGCACAAUGGGGGAAACCCUGAUGCAGCGACGCCGCGUGAGCGAAGAAGUAUUUCGGUAUGUAAAGCUCUAUCAGCAGGGAAGAAGAAAUGACGGUACCUGACUAAGAAGCACCGGCUAAAUACGUGCCAGCAGCCGCGGUAAUACGUAUGGUGCAAGCGUUAUCCGGAUUUACUGGGUGUAAAGGGAGCGCAGGCGGUACGGCAAGUCUGAUGUGAAAGCCCGGGGCUCAACCCCGGUACUGCAUUGGAAACUGUCGGACUAGAGUGUCGGAGGGGUAAGUGGAAUUCCUAGUGUAGCGGUGAAAUGCGUAGAUAUUAGGAGGAACACCAGUGGCGAAGGCGGCUUACUGGACGAUUACUGACGCUGAGGCUCGAAAGCGUGGGGAGCAAACAGGAUUAGAUACCCUGGUAGUCCACGCCG
rnacentral:rRNA from 1 species